AGAGAGAGACAUGCGCGCAUAUCAAUAAGCGGAGGAAAAGAAACUAACAAGGAUUCCCUUAGUAACGGCGAGUGAAGCGGGAAGAGCUCAAAUUUGAAAUCUUCAAGGUUUUACCUUGACGAAUUGUAGUUUAAAGAAGUGUUUUCUGCUGAAGUUUUGGUAAAAGUUCUUUGGAAUAGGACAUCAUAGAGGGUGAGAAUCCCGUAUUUGACCAUUAUUUUCAGCUUUGUGAUACACUUUCAAAGAGUCGGAUUGUUUGGGAAUGCAGUCCAAAAUGGGUGGUAAAUUUCAUCUAAAGCUAAAUAUUGGCGAGAGACCGAUAGCGAACAAAGUACCGUGAGGGAAAGAUGAAAAGAACUUUGAAAAGAGAGUUAAACAGUACGUGAAAUUGUCAAAAGGGAAGCGUUUGACACCAGUGUUGUUUUCUCGAAAAUCAAUUAAAAAUGGCUCGAUUUUGUAUUGCUGAGACCUUAAAAGCUCACUGUACAUUUUUCGUGUCUUUUUUAAUGCACUUUUCGUUUAACAAGUCAACAUCAGUUUCUUUUGUUGUAAAAGGGUCAUUGGAAGGUGGCUUUCUUUUCGGAGAAAGUGUUUAUAGCCUUUGGCCUCUGCAAUCGGAGAGACUGAGGUCUGCAGCGUAGACUCCUCGGGGUUAGAUACAUUUGUGCUAAGUUAUAGCUUUUUAUAGACAACUUGUUGACUAUAAUUAGUCUUGUAGCUUACUCGCUUAUGCUAUUUUACCUACGCUUAGGAUGUUGAAGAUGUAGCACAUCAU
rnacentral:rRNA from 1 species